AGAGUUUGAUCCUGGCUCAGGAUGAACGCUAGCUACAGGCUUAACACAUGCAAGUCGAGGGGAAACGAUAGAGAAAGCUUGCUUUUUCUAGGCGUCGACCGGCGCACGGGUGAGUAACGCGUAUCCAACCUGCCCAUCACUUGGGGAUAACCUUGCGAAAGUAAGACUAAUACCCAAUGAUAUCUCUAGAAGACAUCUGAAAGAGAUUAAAGAUUUAUCGGUGAUGGAUGGGGAUGCGUCUGAUUAGCUUGUUGGCGGGGUAACGGCCCACCAAGGCGACGAUCAGUAGGGGUUCUGAGAGGAAGGUCCCCCACAUUGGAACUGAGACACGGUCCAAACUCCUACGGGAGGCAGCAGUGAGGAAUAUUGGUCAAUGGGCGAGAGCCUGAACCAGCCAAGUAGCGUGCAGGAUGACGGCCCUAUGGGUUGUAAACUGCUUUUAUAAGGGAAUAAAGUGAGUCUCGUGAGACUUUUUGCAUGUACCUUAUGAAUAAGGACCGGCUAAUUCCGUGCCAGCAGCCGCGGUAAUACGGAAGGUCCGGGCGUUAUCCGGAUUUAUUGGGUUUAAAGGGAGCGUAGGCCGGAGAUUAAGCGUGUUGUGAAAUGUAGACGCUCAACGUCUGCACUGCAGCGCGAACUGGUUUCCUUGAGUACGCACAAAGUGGGCGGAAUUCGUGGUGUAGCGGUGAAAUGCUUAGAUAUCACGAAGAACUCCGAUUGCGAAGGCAGCUCACUGGAGCGCAACUGACGCUGAAGCUCGAAAGUGCGGGUAUCGAACAGGAUUAGAUACCCUGGUAGUCCGCACGGUAAACGAUGGAUGCCCGCUGUUGGUCUGAAUAGGUCAGCGGCCAAGCGAAAGCAUUAAGCAUCCCACCUGGGGAGUACGCCGGCAACGGUGAAACUCAAAGGAAUUGACGGGGGCCCG
rnacentral:rRNA from 1 species